rnacentral:rRNA from 1 species
UACGUAGGGUGCAAGCGUUGUCCGGAAUUAUUGGGCGUAAAGAGCUCGUAGGCGGUCUGUCGCGUCGGCUGUGAAAACCCGGGGCUCAACCCCGGGCCUGCAGUCGAUACGGGCAGACUAGAGUGUGGUAGGGGAGACUGGAAUUCCUGGUGUAGCGGUGAAAUGCGCAGAUAUCAGGAGGAACACCGGUGGCGAAGGCGGGUCUCUGGGCCAUAACUGACGCUGAGGCACGAAAGCGUGGGGAGCAAACAGG